rnacentral:lncRNA from 1 species
GUGAAGGAAGAAGUGGUGAGGAAAGCAUGCUCAGAGAGAUGGCUACUUCACAUUACUGCCUCUUGCCAGGUCUGUUUCCUCAGAUGCCAGGAUUGUACAUUCCCAAGCCAUCUUGGUCAACACGGUAUCAUCCACCUACUUAACUAGUCUUCCUUUAAUUCAGGGUCACAAAUAUUGAUGGGUUCUCCCAGGGCCUGGAGCCCCGCCUGCACUUCCCGGGGUUAUUCCCUGGCCCAUCCUACAAGGAAGCAUUUUAUAGCUGCUCUCCCUUCAAAGCUCCAACACCUGCUCCCCCUCCCUCAUAGUCUAGCUGAUGUCUUCCUCUCAAACUUCACAAAGAAGCUUCAAGCUGCAGACUAGACCUUCCCUUCAUCAACUGUACCCUGCAGCUGUCUCUGCCCACGUGCUCUUUCCUAGGCCUCAGUGGGGGAGUUGGCUGCUCUCUCAGGCCAACCUUACCAUCUGCUAGCUCCUGGACCCCAGCCCCCCUCACCUUCUCAGGACCUUUUCAGGCUGGCUCUGCAUCCAGCCCCUCUCUCUCUAACUCCAAAGGCAUACAAAGGUGCCGGAAUCUUGCAUCUUAAAAACCAAGUCAACCAAAGCCAAAAAAAACUCUUCCCUGACCUUCUCCCUCCUGUUACAAUCUUGUUUUUUUCCAUACAACAUGUCUUUAAAGUGCUGUUUAGAGGCACUGUCUCCACUUUCUCAGUUCUCGUUCUCUCAAUUCACUGUCAUUGAGCUGUUGAACCCAUCACUCCCCAAAACGGUUCUAAUCAAUGUGAUUAAUGACUUAUUUUGCCAAAUCUGGUCACUUGUUGCUUUUCUGACCCUAUCCUUUAGCACUUUCUUCAACCUCUCACUUUCUCCUCCAGCUUCUAUAGCACACCCUCUCCUAGGUGGAUUUCCUUCCCCAAUCACUUGCUGUUCCUCCAUCUCCUCUCUUUGAGGACGGCCAAGAUUGAUUUGGGACCUUAUUCUUUUCCCCUUCCCUCCCCUCCACUUCUCUUUCUUUUCCUCUCCCCAUCCUCUUUCAAUAUUUACGUGGCCCAGCUUAUCUGUUCAACUCCCUGUUUAAAGUCAUUCCUUGCUGAUGAUUGGCAGGUUUACAGUUCCACUCCUGAUCUGUCCACUAAGCUUCAGGCUUGUAGAGGCAGCGGGUUGCCUCUAUACUCUGCUUAAAAGUCUAAUAGCAUCUCCACCUCAUAUGCCCUAAACAGAACUUUGGGUUCCUUCCACCUCUGUCCCUCAAGCUCACUUCUCCUCUAGUCUCUUUAUCAACUUAGGAAAUGACACCACCAUCUACUACACUGUGGCUCCAGUCUCACACAGGAAUCACUCUUGAUUCCUCUUGUCCCGUGCUACUCCCUUCAUAUACUCCAUCAGUGAGUGCUGUCAUCUUCCCCAAGACAGCCUCAAUUCAUCCUCUUUUCUUUAUCUCUAGCUCUAAGCUGCAAUCAUCUCACGGAAAUACUGUGAGAACCUGGUACAAUUUCUAUUCUGCACAGAGACCAGAGUAAUCCACAAAUAUUAAGUCAGAUCAUCUCACUCCCUUUUGUAAAAACCCUUUUGUGGCUUCCUGUUGUGGGCAGAACUAAAUCAAGACAGCUUAUCAUGGCCUAAGAGGACUUACCGGAGCUGGUCAUGACCCCUUCUGACCUCAUUUGGUGAAAUUGGGCCCUGGGCACACUGACCCUCUGCCUGCGAAAACGCAGGCUCAUGCCCACCCAGUGUCUUUCAAGUUUCUCUGCUCCUGAUUUUUACAAGAUUUUAUCUUUCUCAUUAUUAAGUUCUCAGCCUAAAGGUCACGUCCUCAGAGGCCUUUCCUGACCACCCAGUCUAAAUUAGCUCCUUGCCCUCAUCACUCCCUACUCUUAAUUUUGUUCUACUUUUGUUCUAGAACUUAAUGCUAUUUUGAUUAUCUUCCCAUCCAUUUCUAGACUGUAACCACCGGGGAGGCAGAAUACUUUAUCUUGUUUACUAUUGUUAAAUGAAAUUUAUGGGAGACUAUUGUUUUGGACUGGGCUCCUGAACUAGGCCCAGCAGACCAGAAUGGAGUCAUUCAUGUUAAAUGCCACAUAAUCAAACUGAACUCUGAAAUAGGCCAGCUUUCUAAUAAAAAAAAAAAUAGAGAGCGAAUGAGAUUCACAGCAACUAAUCAAAAGGGGAGCAGCUUACCUUAAGAUGGUAUGACCAGGAAGUCCCUUCUGCUUUAACACUAUCAGGGUACUAACCUUGAAACAAAGCAUCUGCUUUUUGUUCUCUGUUUCUGUUUUCUUCAGCCCUUUUCUGCCUAUAAAGCCAGGCUCGUCUUCUCAGCUCAUCGGAAAACCCAUUUUAUUUUAUAGGAUGAGAUGUUGCCUGAUUCUAGAAUUAUUAAUAAAAGCCAAUUAGAUCUUUAUACUAAAUUUGUUGUAAUUUUGUUUUUUGACACUAUGGUGGUCUCAGCACCUAGAACAAUAAUAUAAGCAAAUAGCAAUAAUAAUUUAAUGAAUAAUUCUGUUUGCCUGACUUACAUCCCACUUUCAGAAAGGAAUAACCUCCUGGGAGUAGUCAGCAGAGGUCCCAGGACAAGUAGCCAUGGGAGUUGCCUAAUCUUCUUUCACUCACCGCUUAAAUCAUUUAGCAAAUAUUAAUUGUCAGGUUAUGGGCUAAAUACUGGAGGAACCCAGAUAAAGAAAUCACAGUUUUUGUCAUUUCAAGAACUCACAGACUGGUGGGUGGUGGCAGACUAAGAGGGUAGAAAAUUACAGUGUUGCCGUUUGAUAAAUACAAUAGGAGAGGGAAGCACAGGCUCCUAUUGCAGCUCACAGAAGGAGCACCUAACUCACAUGAAGUCAAGGAAAGCUUCCUGGAAGAAGUGAUACUUCAAGCAAGUCUUAAGGUUUCCUCGUUGGUAGAAUGGGACUGGCCCUGGUGCCCCUGCUACAUGGAGUCUGUGGGAUUCAAUGAGAAGAUUCCUGGCCUGGCGUGGCUCAUGCCUAUAAUCCCAGCACUUUGGGAGGCCA